rnacentral:tRNA from 1 species
UCCCUGCUGGCUCAGAGGAUAGAGCGUCUGCCCGCAACGCAGGAGACCCGGGUUCGAUCCCUGGGCUGGGAA